rnacentral:rRNA from 1 species
UGGGGAAUAUUGCACAAUGGGCGCAAGCCUGAUGCAGCAACGCCGCGUGAACGAUGAAGGUCUUCGGAUCGUAAAGUUCUGUUGCAGGGGAAGAUAAUGACGGUACCCUGUGAGGAAGCCCAGGCUAACUACGUGCCAGCAGCCGCGGUAAUACGUAGGGGGCUAGCGUUAUCCGGAUUUACUGGGCGUAAAGGGUGCGUAGGUGGUCUUUCAAGUCGGUGGUUAAAGGCUACGGCUCAACCGUAGUUAGCCUCCGAAACUGGAAGACUUGAGUGCAUGAGAGUAAAGUGGAAUUCCCAGUGUAGCGGUGAAAUGCGUAGAUAUUGGGAGGAACACCAGUAGCGAAGGCGGCUUUCUGGACUUCAACUGACACUGCGGCACGAUAGCGUGGGUAGCAAACAGG